rnacentral:lncRNA from 1 species
UCUCCAUAGAUACCUAACACAAAAUCUUAGUCUAAGCUUCCCCAUUUGGCCACUCCAAGCCUCCCACCCGAUUGAGCCUCCUGAGGAUGGAAAAAAUAGAGAAAAAAUCAAGGGACACCAUAGGAAAAUCAACAAAAACAAAAGAAAGAUGGAAAAGGUCAGAGGUACGUAAGACCUCCCAUGCAUAGAUUGAUCAUUUUCUUUUAGUUUUUGCUUCUCUUUUCUUUUCAUUUUAUUCUCUUUUGUGGAGAUCUACG